CUGCGCAAAAUGGCGGCGCCCUUCCCCCCCUCCGCCCCGCCUUAAUUCGGCGCAUGCGUCGUGCGCGCGGCCUAGAGGGGCCGCGGUGGGGUUCUGCGCAUGCGCGUUCUGACACCGGGGGGGGGGGGGGGGGGGGGGCGUGGGGGUUCUGUGCAUGCGCGGGGGAAAGGCGGGAAAACGUGAAGGAGAACAUUGGAAGGAAAAAAGGGGAAAAUGGAAGAGAGAAUGUGAAGGAAAGGGGCAACGCUGGGGGGAUAUUGGGGGAAAUAUGAGGGGAAAUGGGAAAAAUAUGAAGGUCUCGAUGUUCAGGAUGGAUCAGGAAGCAGUGGACCCACUGCUCUGCCAUUCAACCCAUAGGCUUGAAAAGUUGGCAAAAGAGCGUUUUAACCCCAAAUGUUUGCUGUUUGCACGCAUUUCCCCCCCCGCCUGGAAAUGAGGAACAAGAGGCAGCACACACGAUGGCACACUGAUGAGCCGCCAGCUCGUUAAUUAGUGAGUCGCUAAUUAAUGAGUCGUUAAUUAAUGAGUCGUUAUCCAGCGACGCACCCGUGCCAAACGGCCAUGAAGAAACAUGGGGAACCAACAGAAGGUUGGUGAAGAGCGCGGAACGCCACCUCAUUUUAGGCAAGAAGGCCACAAAUCACUCCAAGUCCCGCAGUUAAUUAAUUACCGCGCGAGUUAACGAGGCUGGCUCCGGGCGCAGUGAUUCACCCUUCUUCCUUCACGCUGAUUUAUGACCACGUCCAAAUUCCAACCCCUGUGCUGCAGCCACAGUUUUUGGUCCUGGCCAAACUGCAGCUUUCUGCUGCUCUGCUCCGGGUGGGGGUUUUCUCUUUUGGG
rnacentral:lncRNA from 1 species